CAGCCCAUUGCGGAGGACACUUGACAUCUCAGGGCCUCGGGCCACCUCCUUCCUAGGCACAAAGCCCUUAGAAGAACUGAGCUCUUGGGAGCUCAUCUUCACCUCCUCUUUCUCAAGAACUCAGCCACAUUUUGGGACCCAGGUGUCUCUGCCUGCCAGCCACAAGGAGGCAGAGGAAGAUGCACAGGGAAAACCAUCUCUGGUGCUGGCUGCUUCUGCAGCUCCUGCUUCUAGAAAUGACCAGCACAGUCUCUGCCUCUUCAUCCAUCCCGACCACCACUGGGUCCAUCACAGCCUCAAACUCUUCAUCCAUCCCGACCACCACUGGGUCCAGC
rnacentral:lncRNA from 14 species